rnacentral:rRNA from 1 species
UACGAGGGGGGCAAGCGUUGUUCGGAAUUACUGGGCGUAAAGCGCACGUAGGCGGAUACUUAAGUCAGGGGUGAAAUCCCGGGGCUCAACCCCGGAACUGCCUUUGAUACUGGGUAUCUCGAGUCCGGAGGAGGUGAGUGGAAUUCCGAGUGUAGAGGUGAAAUUCGUAGAUAUUCGGAGGAACACCAGUGGCGAAGGCGGCUCACUGGUCCGGUACUGACGCUGAGGUGCGAAAGCGUGGGGAGCAAACAGG